rnacentral:tRNA from 1 species
UCCCAGGUGGCUCAGUGGCAGAGAAUCUGCCUGCCAAGCAGGAGAGGCAGGUUCAAUCUCUGUGUCGAGAA